rnacentral:lncRNA from 1 species
AAUAAAAGCCCCAGCUGACUGAACAGUCCUUGUGUUGGCGAAGGGGAGAAGACUUGGAUGCCAUGACGGGUUGGGAAUUGGCCCUCUCCCUCACUUCCCGGCCUUAGGCUCUCUUCCCUAAGGGCUGAAAGAAACGGAUCCUUUCAAAAGGCUCCUCCCCAAGUUCGUGGGUUGAUUACUGAUCUGCCCAGGUACAGAACAGACAAGAUGAGAUCAAUUGUUCCUUCACCCCUCCCUGAGCCCUUCCUUUUCUUCAAAUGUUUGCCUUAUGUUGCGUGAAAUGUAGAUUUACUCGGCACUAACUACAGUCUCCCAAGUAUAUAAUCAUUUGUCUCAUUGCCACCCCCCACCUUUUAAGGAAACUAUAGAAAUACUCCGGAGAACCUCUUUGGAAGAAACAGCCACAGAUGUGUCUGCAGUGGGUAUUCUUCCUGGGAGUGC